rnacentral:lncRNA from 1 species
UUUUUGUCCUGGUUUUAGCCUGGUUUUAUCCAGGUUUUUGUCCUGGUUUUAUCCAAGUUUAAUCCUGGUUUUUAUCCAGGCUUUAUCCUGGUUUUUAUCCUGGUUUUAUCCAGGGUUUAACCUGGUUUAACUUGGUUUUUGUUCUGGUUUUUGUCCUGGUUUGAUUCUGGUUUUAACCUGGUUUUAUCCAGGGUUUAUCCAGGUUUUUGUCCUGGUUUUAACCCUGGUUUUAUCCAGGUUUUAUCCUGGUUUUUAUCCAGGGUUUAACCUGGUUUAACUUGGUUUUUAUUCUGGUUUUUGUCCAGGGUUUAACCUGGUUUAACUUGGUUUUUAUUCUGGUUUUUGUCCUGGUUUCAUCCUGGUUUCAUCCUGGUUUCAUCCUGGUUUUAACCUGGUUUUUAUCCAGAUUUUAUCCUGGUUUUU